rnacentral:rRNA from 1 species
CCUACGGGAGGCAGCAGUGAGGAAUAUUGGUCAAUGGCCGGAAGGCUGAACCAGCCAAGCCGCGUGAAGGACGAAGGUGCCAAGCAUUGUAGACUUCUUUUGUCAAGGGACAAAAUCAGGCUCGAGAGCCUGACCGAGGGUACUUGAAGAAAAAGCAUCGGCUAACUCCGUGCCAGCAGCCGCGGUAAUACGGAGGAUGCGAGCGUUAUCCGGAUUUAUUGGGUUUAAAGGGUGCGCAGGCGGAAGCGCAAGUCAGCGGUAAAAUUGAGAGGCUCAACCCCUUCCCGCCGUUGAAACUGCGGUCCUUGAGUGGGCGAGAAGUACGCGGAAUGCGCGGUGUAGCGGUGAAAUGCAUAGAUAUCACGCAGAACUCCGAUUGCGAAGGCAGCGUACCGGCGCCCAACUGACGCUCAUGCACGAAAGCGCGGGUAUCGAACAGGAUUAGAUACCCUUGUAGUC